rnacentral:rRNA from 1 species
UACGUAGGGGCAAGCGUUGUCCGGAAUCAUUGGGCGUAAAGCGCGUGUAGGCGGCUUGGUAAGUCUGCUCUGAAAGCCCGGGGCUCAACCCCGGGAGGCGGGUGGAUACUGCUGAGCUCGAGUCCGGAAGAGGCGAGUGGAAUUCCUGGUGUAGCGGUGAAAUGCGCAGAUAUCAGGAGGAACACCAAUGGCGAAGGCAGCUCGCUGGGACGGUACUGACGCUGACGACGCGAAAGCGUGGGGAGCAAACAGG